rnacentral:tRNA from 1 species
GCCAGCAUGGCAUAGUGGUUUGAGUGUUGGACUCCAACUCUGGAGAUCAGGGUUCGAGUGCCAGCUUGGCC